UACCAGCACCCCGAGUGGUCGGGACGUUUAUUGGGCCUAAAGCAUCCGUAGCCGGUUCUACAAGUCUUCCGUUAAAUCCAGCUGCUUAACAGAUGGGCUGCGGAAGAUACUAUGGAGCUAGGAGGCGGGAGAGGCAAGCGGUACUCGAUGGGUAGGGGUAAAAUCCGUUGAUCCAUUGAAGACCACCAGUGGCGAAGGCGGCUUGCCAGAACGCACUCGACGGUGAGGGAUGAAAGCUGGGGGAGCAAACCGG
rnacentral:rRNA from 1 species